CUCAUUAUAUAUAAUGAGCUGAAGCUCAUUUCAUCUCCAUUCAGCAUGCAGAACACGCUGGGCAGCUAGCCAAAAUGAGGAAGAACAUGUUGAAGAUUCCAAAACCCUUGAUUUCAUUCAAAUCCACAUAACUUUUCGCUCCGAGUUCCGAUCGUCGUACCGUUUGCGGCUACGCGUCCACGGCGUCGAGCUCUACAAAGCCCAUAACAUUAUUCAAGUUAGCUUCCGGGACUUAAUGGGCUCGAGCUAUUGAGCAUAUGGGUAUGGUGUAGAUUAAGUGGAUAUAUAUACAUUGGAAUUGAAUUGGGAGUAUUUGGAGGCUUAUUGGUGAUCAAGGCUUGGUUUGUGGCUGUUUCAAUUGAGCUUGGAGGGGCUGUGUUUUGUGUUGUGAGGCUACCUUGGGUGAAACAAAGUGAUCGGCCAAGAUGCAAGUCGAGAGGCUCCUCGCUAGGCGUCUGGAUCUUUGAAGCGAAGUAGUUCCUGGGUGUAUUUUGGAUUUCUGUUGUAUAUAUGUACAUAUGUAUCUAGCUUACUCUCCAAGUAACUUGUGUAUGCUGCUCCUCCUAGAGGUUGAGGGAGAGACAGGAAUUUGUUUUGGUAUCUUGGUGCAUUUUGGGAAUACUUAUGUAUGUUUAUAUGUAUAUAUAUAUUCCCCGGCCAGCCUUAACUUCGCAGGCUGAGUCAAGGGCUAGUUAUGCUGAUUCCUUGACUUUUCUUUA